rnacentral:rRNA from 1 species
CCAGACUCCUACGGGAGGCAGCAGUGGGGAAUAUUGCACAAUGGGGGAAACCCUGAUCCAGCGACGCCGCGUGAGUGAAGAAGUAUCUCGGUAUGUAAAGCUCUAUCAGCAGGGAAGAAAGAAAUGACGGUACCUGAGUAAGAAGCCCCGGCUAACUACGUGCCAGCAGCCGCGGUAAUACGUAGGGGGCAAGCGUUAUCCGGAAUUACUGGGUGUAAAGGGAGCGUAGACGGUGAAGUAAGUCUGGAGUGAAAGGCGGGGGCCCAACCCCCGGACUGCUCUGGAAACUGUAUGGCUGGAGUGCAGGAGAGGUAAGCGGAAUUCCUAGUGUAGCGGUGAAAUGCGUAGAUAUUAGGAGGAACACCAGUGGCGAAGGCGGCUUACUGGACUGUAACUGACGUUGAGGCUCGAAAGCGUGGGGAGCAAACAGGAUUAGAUACCCGCGUA